GAGUAAAGGGUAAAUAUCCUAUAGCUCUAAAGAGAAGGUUGAUAAUGACCGCACUUCUCAAUUAAUCCUGACUCAUUUCGUGCCAGCAGUCGCGGUAACACGUGAAGGAUAAGCGUAAUUCAUCUCAAAUAGGUGUUAAGGGUAUGUUGGUUGUCUCAUCACAUGAAACUUCAAAUGAUUAAAAAUCUUAUCGGAGUUUUCUAAACUUCUUCCUGAUGAUGACUAGAGUGUCAGAGAGGAAAGAGUAAUUAGGGGAUUAGCGAUGAUAUGCUAAUAAUUUUCUAGGAACUCUAGAAGCGAAGGCUUCUUUCUAACUAGACACUGACGCUCAGAUACGAAAGUGUGGGUAUCGAAAAGGAUUA
rnacentral:rRNA from 1 species